rnacentral:sRNA from 1 species
CAAUUUGGAGCGCUGAGUUCUUACAAAACAAGAAGCGGGGGAACCAUUCUUUUGGGGUGAAUCUCUUUUCAGAGUAGGGUCAUCUUCUUUCGAUCCGAAUCCGUCAGCUAACCUCGUAAGCGUGGAAAGAGGAGAUUG